rnacentral:rRNA from 1 species
CCUACGGGAGGCAGCAGUAGGGAAUCUUCCGCAAUGGACGAAAGUCUGACGGAGCAACGCCGCGUGAACGAUGAAGGCCUUCGGGUCGUAAAGUUCUGUUGUUAGGGAAGAACAAGUGCUAGUUGAAUAAGCUGGCACCUUGACGGUACCUAACCAGAAAGCCACGGCUAACUACGUGCCAGCAGCCGCGGUAAUACGUAGGUGGCAAGCGUUGUCCGGAAUUAUUGGGCGUAAAGCGCGCGCAGGCGGUUUCUUAAGUCUGAUGUGAAAGCCCCCGGCUCAACCGGGGAGGGUCAUUGGAAACUGGGAAACUUGAGUGCAGAAGAGGAAAGUGGAAUUCCAAGUGUAGCGGUGAAAUGCGUAGAGAUUUGGAGGAACACCAGUGGCGAAGGCGACUUUCUGGUCUGUAACUGACGCUGAGGCGCGAAAGCGUGGGGAGCAAACAGGAUUAGAUACCCUGGUAGUCCACGCUGUAAACGAUGAGUGCUAAGUGUUAGAGGGUUUCCGCCCUUUAGUGCUGAAGUUAACGCAUUAAGCACUCCGCCUGGGGGGUACGUCGCAAGCUGAAACUCAAAUGAAAUUGACGGCUUGGAGAGNGCGAGGACGACGACGAGGGAGAGG